rnacentral:rRNA from 1 species
UAACACGUGGGCAACCUGCCUGUAAGACUGGGAUAACUUCGGGAAACCGGAGCUAAUACCGGAUAAUCCUUUUCCUCUCAUGAGGAAAAGCUGAAAGACGGUUUACGCUGUCACUUACAGAUGGGCCCGCGGCGCAUUAGCUAGUUGGUGAGGUAACGGCUCACCAAGGCGACGAUGCGUAGCCGACCUGAGAGGGUGAUCGGCCACACUGGGACUGAGACACGGCCCAGACUCCUACGGGAGGCAGCAGUAGGGAAUCUUCCGCAAUGGACGAAAGUCUGACGGAGCAACGCCGCGUGAGUGAUGAAGGUUUUCGGAUCGUAAAACUCUGUUGUUAGGGAAGAACAAGUACAAGAGUAACUGCUUGUACCUUGACGGUACCUAACCAGAAAGCCACGGCUAACUACGUGCCAGCAGCCGCGGUAAUACGUAGGUGGCAAGCGUUGUCCGGAAUUAUUGGGCGUAAAGCGCGCGCAGGCGGUCCUUUAAGUCUGAUGUGAAAGCCCACGGCUCAACCGUGGAGGGUCAUUGGGAAACUGGGGGACUUGAGUGC